rnacentral:misc_RNA from 1 species
UGCGUCAUGACUUGUAUCGUCUUGAGCGUAUUGUGGGUUUCCUGUGUUGCAUACCUUUCUAAUGGUAUCGAUUUGAUUGAUCCAAGUCCCUUUUCAUCUUGUGUUGCCUUUGCGAUGCAUGAUGAACCUUGAGGCGGUCUCUAUGUUCCACAACGUUGAUGCUAGUGUUUUGAUGUUGUGGCCCAUUGAGCGUUGCCUGGUUUCGUGGAUACAGAACAUGAUUUGGGCAUAGGGUUACUUGUGACUCUUGUUUUGUCCUUUAUCAGUGUUCUUUAUAACGACGGUUCAUGCGCGCCUAGGCUCGUACCUGCGCGAUGUUCUUUGUCGAAGAGGAAUGCUACCUGGUUGAUCCUGCCAGUA